UUCACUGCCGAAAGGACAGCCCCAGUGA
rnacentral:piRNA from 1 species